rnacentral:rRNA from 3 species
UGUGGUGAUGAUGGCUUGAAGGAUACACCUGUACCCAUGCCGAACACAGAAGUUAAGCUUCAACACGCCGAAAGUAGUUGGGGGAUCGCUCCCU